ACAGCAGCAGCCGCGGGAAUACGGAGGGUGCAAGCGUUAUCCGGAUUUAUUGGGUUUAAAGGGUCCGUAGGCGGAUCUGUAAGUCAGUGGUGAAAUCUCACAGCUUAACUGUGAAACUGCCAUUGAUACUGCAGGUCUUGAGUAAAUUUGAAGUGGCUGGAAUAAGUAGUGUAGCGGUGAAAUGCAUAGAUAUUACUUAGAACACCAAUUGCGAAGGCAGGUCACUAAGAUUUAACUGACGCUGAUGGACGAAAGCGUGGGGAGCGAACAGGAUUAGAUACCCGGGUAGUCCCUGUCUCUUAUAC
rnacentral:rRNA from 1 species